AUGCACCCAUUUCAGUCCCUGUCCACCAGGGGGUGCAGCUUCCUACCACAAUCACAUUUCCUGUGUGAAAUGUGGGCUUGCACUGAUCAUUUCUCUGUCACUCCAACGUUUCUUCAUGGUAAGAUUGAAGAACAUUAUUUAGGUGACACUCCAGAGAUGAAGUGUUCUCCAGGCUUCGUGACUGUGGUACUCUUAAUGCUUGGACAAACCCAUGGAGACUCAGUGACCCAGAUGGAAGGCCCAGUGACCCUCUCAGAAGAGGAUUCCCUGACUAUAAACUGUACCUAUUCAACAAUAGGGUAUCCCACUCUUUUCUGGUAUGUCCAGUAUCCAGGAGAAGGUCCAGAGCUCCUCCUGAAAGCCUCGAGGGACAAGGAGACGAAACACAACAAAGGUUUUGAAGCCACCCCCGACAGCAAAUCCAAAUCCUUCCACCUGGAGAAAGGCUCAGUGCAAGCGUCAGAUUCAGCUGUUUACUACUGUGUCAUGAGUGACACAGUGACGGGGACUGCAGGGGGAGCUGAGCACAAACUCUGA